CUCUCUUUGCCUUCUGCCAGCAGCGUAAGAUGUAACUUGCUCCUCACCUUCCACCGUGAUUGUGAGGCCUCCCCAGCCAUGUGGAACUGUGAGUCCAUUAAACCUCUUUCCUGCAUAAAUUACCCAGUCUUGGGUAUGUCUUUCUUAGCAGCGUGAAAACGGACUAAUACACCUGGCACUGACAGGAAAAAAAAAGGUUAAGACAGUUGUGAACCCUUGAGCAGGUCACUAAACUCCUCUGUGGCUCAGUUUCUUCAUCCGGAAAAAGGAAAUUAUAAUGCUGAACGUGUAGGAUUAUCAUUAAGUGUUAGGGUAAUCAACUUGCCUGGAGCGUAUCUCAUAGUCAGUGCUUAAAAUGGUAGUUUUUGUUACUGACAUGGAAAUGAUUGAUAAAACAAAGGCCUCAGGGCUUAUAAGGAGCAGUGAUUAUUUUAUUGGUGAACAGGAUGUUCUAUUCCUGUUGGACCAACUGAUAACAGUCACUUCAUGAAGAAAAAAGGAUUUCGAGUGGGAUAGAACACUGGAGUUUUCUUUGGUGGUUUUGUCUGGUGGGAUCUAUUUAAUUGCAUUCUGCUUAGAACCAACUAAUUGUUGAACAAUUCAGCUGAUCACACACUAGCUAAGAAGGCCAUGUGUGAAAAAUAUCUAGAGAGGUCCUAGCUAUUUGGGAGCAAGUCCAUCAUAAGCCAAUAUGUGACCCGGCUGCUGAUACAGAUGAGCCGCUCUUGGAGUGCAUUAACAGAAGUAGCAAGCCUAGAAUAAGGGAGGAGAUGGUCCUUCUGCAUUCUCUUCUGGCUGGGAUACACUUGGAAAUAUGGGUUCAGUUCUCUAAGAAUCUCAUUGUCAAACCUGAGUGUGUUCUGAAGAAUGUGAGUAAGAGAGGAAGGAGCUGAAGACCUUGCCAUAUGGAGAACAAGGAAAAGGAUGAGAGAGGCUUUUCCCCUGGAGGUAAGAAUGUUCACGGUGAUCAAUGACUUUAAACUUCUGAAGGGCUGCCAUAGGGAAGGAGGAGAUGAUGGAACACACUGUGGGUGAGUGGAGGUGGGGUCAGAGUCUAUCAAGCUUGCCCAACCUGCCUUAUUUUUAUUGUUGUUCUGUUUUGUUUUGUUUUAGACUUUUAGCAGCCUGAAAGCCAUGGUUUUUAGUUUCUGUCUCUAGUGAUAAGUGAAAAAGAGGGAUGAGGGAGGGGUUUUGGUGGCCUAACCAGAAUCAGAAACUAAGAACCCAUAAUUGUAUUUUCUCCCUUGGACACCCCUGGAGGUCUUUUGGACAAAGUUACAAGGAGGAAUAUUCAAUUCGGGAAGAUGCUGAAUUGGGCCACCUUGUGAGGUAGUAAAUCUCCUGGCAGCUGAGAUAUUCAACCAGAGGCUAGCCAAAGUAAAGCAGUAUGUGGUGUGGAGGUUGUGGGAACAGGAUUUGAUGUUAAAUCUGGGUUUAAAUACUGGCUGUGCUGUGUGGGCAAGAAGUAAACAUCUCUGGAUGUACUUGCCUUAGCGGUGAAAUGGAGACAGAGCUUACACUACUGGAUUGUGAGGGUUAAAUGAGAUAAUAUACGUAAAAUCCUUAACAGUUGCUCUUAGUAUUAUUUUGGUUACUUAUCAAGGAUAAACUCACCAGGGUUUCCUUCCCACUCUACAUUUCGGGGAUGCUAUGAAUGAAACAGGCCACUGCAUUUCUCCUUGAUUGUUCUUUGUUCUCCACUUCAAACCAAUUGCCGUUUCAUUGCAUUUUGUUAAUAAUAUAAUUCUAGAGAAAGCUGGCCUGCCAUGACUGUUUUUUAGUGUUUCUUCCUCAUUAAUUUAGAUCUUCUCCAGCUGAUGAACAUUUUUGCUUAGUAGAAGUUCAUUAAUUCUCCCCUCCCCGACUCAUUCCAGCAAUGCAAUUUAAACAGCAUUAAUCCGGUAUUUAGUGAGAAAAUGGAGUUUUAUACUAAGAAACAUUCAGUUUGAGACAAUCUUUUUUUCUUCUUAAACAACUUUUUUUGAAAUCCUAAUUUAAUGACGAAUUAUCAUCAUUUGUGUUGGAAGAAGGUUUAAGAAGAGAGAGAAUAAUGGAUGAGGGUUAUGAAAUUUUAGAGCCAGACGAACUCUCAUCUGGCCUCUUGUUUUAUACAUGAGGACAUGGGUCCCAGAAAGGUUGACUUAUGGGCUCCAGGCCACUGAAGAGUGAAUGGCAGAGCUGGGUUGUGAACCUCUUCUUGCCGUCCAAGCUACCUUCUGUCUGCUGGGGGGUGGCAGGCUUGGGUCAUGUUCUCCCACUGUCUAGUUUGAGCUUGGCAAGUUUUUCAGCUGCAGUGAAGCUCAAUUUUUUGAUCUGUAAACUGCCCAUGUAGUGAUAGUUCCUCCCUUGUCAGUAUUAGGGGUAGGUUAAUGUAAGUAAAGCAAUUACAAAAUUGCUGGCACCUGGUAGGCAUAGCGAGACUGUCGAAUGAAGAGACAAUAAUUUAAGGUCAUUACUGUUUAUAGUUAUAAUUUACCUGAGUGCUUCUCAUAUGCUGGGCCUUUGCUGAGCUCUUCCAAACCACCCUUUGGAUAAUGGUUUGAAAGGGCUCUGGCUAGGAUAUCCACCCUAUGAGGUAUUAGAAUGGUGCAAAAGUAACUGCUGUUUCUUCCAUUACUUUCAAUGGCAAAGGGCACAAUUACUUUUGCACCAACUUAAUAGAAAGUCUAACAAGUUUCUACUGUUAUGAGAACUCUGGAACUUUUAUUUCCCCAUUCCUGUCUUGUUUGUUGCCCCCCAAACCUCAACCAUUUCCUACAGGAAUUAACAAUGAAACCCUUAAAAUGGAAAGUUCUCAGGGAACUGUUUUAGAACAGUGGAGUAGGCAGUUCCUGGGGAGAUGCCUGUUAUUCCACAGUGAGGGGUGAAGAUAACUCACAGUAUGGGGUGGGACUCGGCAGCUGUGAGAAGCCAGGGGAAGCGGGUGAAUCACUGUGGGUACAGGAGGAGGAGUUUGACUAAUCAUACCUUAUACCAGUGGUUCUCCACUGGAGACAGUUUUGUCCCCCAGGAGACAUUUGACAAUGUCUGAAGACAUUUUUGGUUGUCAUGGGGGAUGGGUGAUAGGUGAGUGUGAUAUUGCUGUCUGGUGGGUAGAGACCAGGGAUACUGCCACACUCCCUAAAAUGCACAGACCAGCCCCCAACAACAAAGAACUGUGGCCCAAAAUGUCAACAGUGCUGAGGUUGAGAUACCCUGCCUUACACACAUCCUAUGAUUUGGUCUUUAUGAAAAAGUAUGAAGUAUGAGGAAGGGAGCCGGUAUUUAAUAAGGGUAAUAGGAUCUCUUCUGUGCCAGGCAUUACAUUGGGCUGGAGUUGGGAAGACAGAUUUUAACUGCCUGAUAACUUGAUCAGUGGGUAGGAGCCUCUUGGAUCACUCUAUUGACAAGGAUUCUGACGCACAGCAGGAAAGAAGGCUGCAAUCAAUGGACUCCAGUGCUGGCACUUUUCAGCUGUGUAACCUUGAGCAGUUACUUAACCUUUCUGUGCCUCAGUUUUCAUGUCUGUAAAAUGCUGAUGAUAGGAGUAUCUACCUUAUUGAGUUGCCAUGAGGAUCAAAUUAAUUAAUAAUUUAAAGAGCUUUUUGAACUAUGCCUGCCGUGCAGUUAGUUAUCUUCAUCCUCAUUAUCAGGAACAAAACAAUCUUGCUGCGUAUUUACCAUCCUUGUUUUGUCAAAUUAUACACAAAGUCUCAUAUAAGUAGAUAUAUUAGAUAUGUAUAAUUUAACAUGUGUAAUUUGCCCCAUUUUUAGGAUGAGGAAAUUUUGUUUAAAAUUGGGUAAGAGGACAGAGAACUGAUCGAGAAUGUUAAACUAGUGGGU
rnacentral:lncRNA from 1 species